CCACAUGGUCAUCACAAACACACAACCUGACACAUGAACACACACACACACACAGCCUCUCCUUCAACCUGCUCCCCCUGUCGUCCUCCUCUUUUCCAUAUCUCUGUCUUUUCCUCCUUCUCUCUCUCCUGCACUGCUGGAGGCAGCCAGCAGGCCGUGACCUAUCCUAUCACCGCUCUGGAAUCAGGCCCAACUCACACAGACACGGCAUCGCAGACAGACAGCAUUGAGGCUGAUGUAGAAGAAGAGCGCGGAGUUUGGCGAGGGAAAGCCUUCAGAGUUGCUCUUCUCACGCUGUCGCAGUAUACUUCGCUGGAAUCGUCCACUGAUGCUCUCUAAUGGGUGCUGUUGGGAUGGGAGAAAAGUGUGUUAUCUUCUCUGCGUCCUCUCCUGACACGUCGAGCUGAUAUUCCCCACCGGGGUCGUUUAAGUCUGAACUCGUCUGACCGAACAGAAUCUGCAGCCCAGCUAAGGAAACAAGUCAGUCGCCUGCCUUAACUGCUGUCAUCUUUCCUCAUCUCGUGACACCUCAGUGACACCCAGAGUGGCGCUCGGAGUCGCCUCCACCAACAUCCACCUUUCAAUCACACUUUCAAUUGCAAUUGCCUAAUUCUGUGCUGGGAUUUCAGUCCACGGCGAGGAUAUGAGAUUUGUCAAGCACGAGCCCGGGGAAGAACCUGCAUCGCAUAACGCGUAGACGUGCACCAUUUCCUCAGCAUGUGAACUGCAAUUCAUUUUAUAAAUGUCAGAUGAAGCCUGGCAAGCCAUCCACCCACCCACACACACACACACACACACACACACAAAUAGCGUGGUGGGUAAUAUUCUUAUUAGAGAUCAUUUUGAUUGGCUUCCGCUGCCCUUUUCAUUGUGUGAGCGACAGUGAAGGGAGAGAUGAUGAAGUGUGUGCCUAAAUGUCUGUGUGUGCACACUAUGCAUAUAUGUAUAUAUAUAUAUGUGUGUGUUUGUGUGUGUAUGUGUGUGUGUGUGCGUGCAUGUGUCAGAUGUUGAGGGUUUGAGGGUUUAUGUAAGCAGAGAUUAAAAAUGCAAUAAACCUGCC
ensembl:lncRNA